GCCAAGGAAGAGUUGGCUGCGAGUAUUCAGAGUUUUGAAGCCCUGCCCGUGGAAUAAAAGCCAAAGUUGCAACACCCGUUCACUACCGACAUGAACUAAUCCAGGCAGAAGUAUUGGGUCUCGAUCCUGGAGAAAUCGAUGUUCCAUUUGUUGGGGGUCCUGUAAAAGCGACAACUUUACUCUUUACCUCUUUAAUCUCAGGUUAAACCACCUUGUUCUUUCACUCCUCAAGAAAUUGAUCACCUGACAGUAACAUCUCACAUCCAAAAUGGUGGGACGGUACUGUUGAAGUAAAUAAGUUUCCAUUUUCUAUGGAUUUAUCCAUUUAUAUCACCGUUCUGGUCAGUUUCUUUAGUUUUGGAUUUCCAGGUCGUAAAAUAGUGCUCUUGCUGUUCUAGUGAUGCUAUUAUUGAAAUGGGUUUUGACAAGCUUCGUAGUAUUGAGGCCGCUUAAGGAGAGUACUGACAUGCUUAAUCAUGUUAGAGUCUCUAAAUUCUUUAAAUUCACAAGCAUUUUUGAAGAUGUGCUCUACUGAGAACUUCCUCAUGAGAAUGAUGAGAUUUUUGCGAGGAUCACAUCUUAGGUCCAUGUAGGCAUAUAUCUUUUGCAAGUCAACUUUAUGGCGUUGUUUAUGCACUGAAAUGAACUAAAGAGAGCUUGUUAUUAUUUCUACCUGCAGAGGUCAAGGAAUUUAACGGCAGCUUGGAAACCCUAUCCACUACCACUACCCAAGAAAAAGUCUUAAGAAAGAUCUUUUUCUGAAUUAGUAGGACACCUCACUUGUGAAAAUAUGUAAAAG